rnacentral:lncRNA from 1 species
CGCGCUUGACCUUAAUCACGAGAAUAUAAAAUAAGACAUUGCCUCGAGGAAAAUUCUUAAUUAAUGAGAAAGCGUAAUUUAACUAUGCAUGAAUCUGGUAUGCAUGAACUAAUCUUCUGAGCGAUAAUCGGGAAUUCUACUAUUUAUCCUCGUUAAUAGAUUUAACUAACUUCCGUCCAACGCGGUCGAAUAGAGCUGUGAUUCUCCUUUCCCAUCGAAAUAUUCUAAUUGUAAAAUAGAUCUCGCAUUUGUACUCGAUCGAAAAUAAAGAACUAACUCGGCUUUAAUCGAGGUGUGAUCUUGUAAAAAUUAUCGGGCUUUUCAAAAUUUAAUAAAUAAUUGAAAACAUUUCUCUUGAGUUAAGAACACCAACAAUAUUCUUACUCGUCUUUCUUUAAUAAUUGGAUUUAUAAUUAAAACCAAUUAAAUACUUUUAUUGCAAGUAAAAAUGCAAUUUCAUGUCAUGCUUAGCAUAUAAUAAGUAAUUUACUUAAAAUAUGCACAUAAUAAUAAUACAAUAUUAUUAUUAUGUAAAUCAUCUUUAGAGAAAAAUAAUUAAUUAAACUAAAUAAAUAGUCUAAUUAAUAAGUAUCCAUUUUUCUUUGAACUGCAGCCCAAUUAAAUAAUAAGGUAGUCCAUUUCUUUAAAAAAAACAUAAGCCCAAUGUUUCAAUUUAAAUCAGGGCCCAAAGACUUUAAUAAAAUCGGCCCAAAGACUUUAAUAAAAUCGGCCCAUAGCCAAAGCCCAAUACCAUUUAAACACCAGCCCAAUCUUUUAAAAGAUAAAGGCCCAAUUAAAAUAAAUGAAGAGGGCCAAAUUCCAUUUAAAAAUCGGCCCAUCACUUAUUAAAAAUCGGCCCAAGACUCGGCCCAAAAUAAAGAAAUAAUGAAGCCCAAAGAAAAUAAAAUAAAGGCCCAAUUAUAAUAAAUACAACAAGGCCCAAAAAUAAAUAGGAGGCCCAAAUUUUCGGCCCAACUCAAUUAAAUUAAAAUCAAGCCCAACAUAAAAAAAAAAACCCCAAAUCUUUAAAAAUUUCGGCCCAACUUAAAAUAAAAAGAAGCCCAAAAUUCGGCCCACAUAAAAUGGCCCAAAUCCUUCCUUAUCUCUCCCACUCGGUCUCUCUCUCUCUCAGACGCACGCUUCUCUCUUUUCUCUCUCACUGAAAAACUCAAAAUCCAGUCGAGCUCUCUCGACCUCGGCUCCGACGAGGUUGCCGGCGUCGCCGCCGCCUAAGCCCGGCAAGGUCGUGCCUCCUCCCUUUUUCCUAUCAGUCGGAUCUCUCUCUCUUUCCUCCCCAAAAUCUGCUCUUCUUCUUGAUUCAAAAACCAGUCGAUCGGCCCUUCCCAGCUCGCUCGACGUCUUCUUCUCCGGCCAUCCAGCCGCCUGCUCCGGUCGUCGUCAUCUGUCGACGCGUCAAAUCCCCGGCGCCGUCCUCUUUCCUCCCCCAACAUCGAGCCCUGAUUCUCAAGGAAUCAUUGCUGCUGCUGCUUCUACCCUUUCGAAAUUGGGCGGCCGGUCGCCGUCUGGGAGCGGCGUUGCUCUGGCCUGGAGCCCGUCGGCCUCCUCUCCUUCCGGCCGCUCUCUCUCUUUCUCGGCCAAGAUCUGAUCGGCCCUCUUCCUCGGUUGUUCAGCGGCCAUCGGUUCCGGUCUCUCUCCCUCACGCUGAAGUUCCGCCGCCGCCUUGUGAAGGCCGGCGAGCAGGGGAGUGUCCGACGCCCUCAUCGCGCCGCUGCUGCCCUUGGAAUGGUGCCGCUGUUCUUCCCGGCGGCAGGUGAAAGGCUCGCCGAUCCGCUGCUGUCCUUGGAUCGUUGUUGCUGUUUGGGGUCCCGAUGAGGUUCGAGUUGCGUCACGCCGCCUUCUUCCUCCGUUCCGGUCCGGAUUCAGAUGUCAAAGCAGGCGGGGAGUCGAGCCUUGUUCUUUUCCGCCUCUGCCGCCAUGGUUCUGCCGCCAUCUCCACCGUUUGUGGAAGAUCAGCGAUUCAGCGCCGUUGUUUCGUUCGUGACGCUGCUGCUGUUGUCACGCAAUUUCCGCCGAGGCAGCAGGAGAUGCCGCUGAAAUCUGUCCUCUGCUCAAGAACCGGCUCAAGCCUCACUCUCUCCCUUUUUCUAUUGAAUUAUGGUAUUUCUAUAAUUGAUUAUGCAAGAGAUAAAACUAAGUUCGUGGUUUACUAAUGUAUCAAGAAAUUUCCUUGCUUGCCUCGUGUGAUAAGAAAAUAUAGCAUAAACUGAUUUCUGCCUAAAGAUCAUAUGAGUUUGCUAAGUCUCUUUAUGAAUAUACUCAUUGUAUGCUUAGUAUCCUUUAAUCGAUCAUGCUUGUUGGAUGAAAAACGAAUGGAUUGAAUGAGCUGAGCCUAGUGUUUACCUUGUAUAUUUGUGCUUGAUUGGCUGAUCUGUUUUCUUCUUCUUGGUGAAAAUUUGUUGGCAUAUACUGUUUGAAUAAGGAGAUCUCGGAGAUUAUAGAUGUUAUUUCGGGUGUUUUUUUCUGUGUGAAACUUGGUUUUGAUGUUGGCAUGAGCUUGCUGUAAACAUUCUGUUGGAAUAUACGAAUUGGAUUUUCUUAAACAGCUCCACUGGCGAUCUAUUGAGUAAGAAGGGAGAAGGAUUUGGUGGGGAGCAAAAGAUAAUGGAGUUGGUGGAG